UUUAGGGAGACCUUACCCCCAUUAUUUGUAGACGUUGUGAUUGCUAUAUGCAAAUGCACGUUUAAGGCAAAGAAUGGCAGGUUAUCUCAAGGUCGGUCGAAGAAAUAAGUGUUGGCUUCUAAACUAUCUAGGUUUGGGUUAUGGGCUAUUAGCUCAGGUGGUUAGAGCGCACCCCUGAUAAGGGUGAGGUCCCUGGUUCGAGUCCAGGAUGGCCCACCUUACGUCAAGUUUGGGGGUUUAGCUCAGUUGGUAGAGCGCCUGCUUUGCAAGCAGGAUGUCAGCGGUUCGAGUCCGCUAACCUCCACUGAGGAUGUAUUCAGCAACAGUAUUAGUUGAACUAAGCUGCCUGCUGGGAGACAAUCCAGCAAGAACCAUGAAAACUGCAUAGUGAUAAGCAAUUAAGUCAGGUAGAAGUUCAUCUUGAGUCUGUCUUCAUGUCUUCAGGAUUGAAGCGACGAGAUGAACCUUCAUAGACACCAAUGAAAGACAAGUUAGU
rnacentral:tRNA from 1 species